AGCAGCAGCAUACCGAGCAGUGUUGUGACACAGCAGAAUGAUGUCACCUCCUUCAGACGUGGUCUGCCUACCUAAUCACAGCCCCAAAAAAUUGCAUUACUCCUCUACCAAACCACUCAUGGCAGAAAACACAACGAAACAACCAAGUUCCAUAGGCCUUAAUUUUUCAUGACUAGAACACUUGCUGCUGGCUGCCGUAGAAGUGGAACUCAGAGACCAUGAGUGAAGACACACUGAAGAAAAGCCUCCUGGGCCUGACAGUCUCCAGGCUGCAGCGCAGGGUAUUGUGACGACAUGGGCCUGCUUUGUGUGGCCCCGGCAGGUGGGACCAACCCCCUCAGGCUGGACCCUCUGCAGGGCGAGAGGCGCCAAACUCCAUCUGCUGCAACGACGACUGCAGCCGCCACAGCUAAACCUAAACCUACCGGCUGAGUGAGUUGGGGCCCCUCAAUUCCCUCUGCUCCCCUCCGCUCCACAGCAACACAAAGACAGUCUGCUCAUCUGUCAACCAGGGAAUAGAAAGCGGCCCUGGGCCCCAAUGACUCCUAUUCACUCCAUUGAAUGCAAUUAUUCAAAUCCUAUCCCAGCUAUGAAUGUGCAUGUGUAGACCUUUCUCUUGGGCCGGCCAAGGUGUCGGAGGUUAGAGGAGAGGAAUGCUAUUAUAACAGGCUGUUCAUGACCAUAUUUGUCCGUGUUGGCUGAGGCUGCCAUAGUGAAACAAGAGCACAGCAAAGUUUUGGAGAGAACAGGUGUAGGGAACACCUGAUAUCUGUGUGGUGGUAGAUAUCUCUAUCAGUGAUCUCAGAGGGAGGGGAGAAUAUUCCUGAGCCAAAGGUUUGUCUGUUCUUUUUAUGUUGCUAUUGAAAUGGUAACACUUUACUUGACAACCAGCUUCAUAACAUGUUAGAAUUUGCUCAAAUUGAGCUGUAAUUUAAGAUUUUUUAUACAAAAAGCAUUCCUUGAUUCUGUCCAAAGCAAUGGUAUGCAAAAUCAGGUAAACUUCUAAAAGCACACUUUCUUUACCCUCAAUGUCAACUUGUUUUGACGUCGCAUUGUUGUUUUAGCUGUAUAGAUGAUGUGUUUUGGAUGUUUUUAGUGUAUUUUGAAUGCUUUCAGACAAUGCGAUUAAUCGCAAUAGAAAAUAAACGUUAAUUUAAGUUUUAAAAAGUGAACUUGAGUUAACUGAUUAACUCUGACAGCCCUUAAUAACCUUGCUUUCUCACCGAAAGAAAAUACAUGGGUACAGCAUAAUCCUCCUGAACACUUCACCUCACAACAAGUGAAUGUAAAAUUAGCAGCGUUGGGUUUGAAAUAAAUAUGCACAGAAGGCAGUUGAACUUAGAGGAAGCUGUGCUAUUUUUAGGAGGAGAUAACUGUAUCUUAGAAAUGUAGGCUACAACUGCAGUAAAUAUUUGACUAUGGCACUUUGUUUCUUUCCAGAGCUUGAGCCCUAAACUACUUUACGAUAUACUUAUUGUGUAUGGGCUGCUGGAGCCCUA